CUUUCAGGGACGCAAGUACAAACCAGCCAUGGUUGAAAAAAAAAAAAAUUGUAAAAAUGAGCUACAUGUUGUUAUUGUGUUUUGCAUAUACCAGGUGGGCCAAAUUUCAGAGUAGGGUUUGCUCUACGCUCGAAUUUCUGCAUGGAUAUUUUCCUUGAGCUGCUCACAUGUACGCGGUUUGUUCAUGUACACCCGCUGCUUCAGAUAUCCCCACAGGAUAUUCUUAUUUUUAUUUGGAUGCUCUCUCGUUUAUAUAAUUAUUUUAUUUAUAUAAUUAAUUGUGAGUAAAAACCACUAACAGGCUUAUUUACUAAAGUAAAGUUAAG